AUUGAACGCUGGCGGCAGGCCUAACACAUGCAAGUCGAACGAGUGGCGGACGGGUGAGUAAUGUCUGGGAAACUGCCCGAUGGAGGGGGAGAACUACUGGAAACGGUAGCUAAUACCGCAUACCAUCGGAUGUGCCCAGGUGGGAUUAGCUGGUAGGUGAGGUAACGGCGCACCUGGGCGACGAUCACUAGCUGGUCUGAGAGGAUGACCAGCGACACUGGAAAUGGGACACGGUCCAGACGCCUACGGGAGGCAGCAGUUGGGAAUAUGGCACAAUGGGCGCAAGCCUGAUGCAGCCAUGCCGCGUGGAUGAAGAAGGCCUUCGGGUUGUAAAGUACUUUCAGCGGGUAGGCGUUACCCGCAGAAGAAGCACCGGCUAACUCCGUGCCAGCAGCCGCGGUAAUAC
rnacentral:rRNA from 1 species